UCUUCUUUCUCACGCUUUGACAUUCUCCACAAACCCUAGAAACAAAGCUGUUCAUGUGCCAUCUUCUUCUUCCCCUGAAUCGAUCCAAAAAUCUUCUUUAGCAAAUCGACAAUGGUGAUUCAUUUCUGUAUGGUUGUGGAUUUGGUGAUGAACGCAAACCAGAAACAACGAUGGCGAUGGCGGCUGUUAGGGUUCAGUGUAACUAAGAUUGGGGAACUGCCAACGAUAGCUAUCCGAAUUCACGAAUCAAUCAAUCUUCUUCAACACGUGAUGAGUAACCAAGCGGAAUAAUCCGAAUCGAAAUUUGGUUGAAAUGUGAAAUGGGUUUGUUGUUUGAAGAUUAAAGUUGGUUGCUUUUUCCUGUUUUAGGGUUCACAUUGUUUGUUUUGUGAGGGUUUCCAAAACUACAUCGAUGAUGUGAACAAGUUUAGGAUCAUGAUUUCCCAAAGUUUAUUAUUGCUUGGAUUUAAAGUGUAAUAUUAUAUUCUUUUGUAAAAUUAAGUCAAUAUGUUAUUUCUAGAAUAUAACUGUGAGUUUUCUUGGUGUGAAUGUUGGUCCAUCCCUUAAGAGCUGGUGCAGGUGCAUCCGGUCCAUCCCUUAAGAGCUGGAGGAUUUCGGUACUCCAUAAUUUAAAAUAUAUAAAUGCUGGAAUGUUCAGUUGUGAGAUAAAGGUUCCAGUGGGUUGUGAAUUGAGUGGUAGGCUAUGCUUCUUUUCAUGUUUUCUUUCAUGGGAUGAGUUUUUGUUCUUGAGUUUUUGGGUGGUUUUUAAAGAUGAUUCAGAGGACUACAAAAGAAAAAUUCACUUGUGGAUGACAAGAUGGUAGACCUGAUGGAUGCUCAAAAGUUUAACUGUUUUUUUAAAGAUUAUAUGGAUCUUAGUUGAUUCAAUUCUGGCGCUGAGAAGUAAAAAAAGGGUGGGGGUGGUUCUCUAUCUAUGUAGUUUUUCUCCUUUUUUGUUUUAGUCUUUGUGCUAUGAGUAAAUUGGAGGGCUUGGUAUGGUACGGUUUUUCAUGAACCCAAUGUAAGUUGCACUUUAUAACUAUCAAACGCUCUCUAUAAUGCAAAACACUUGAUUCUCUCAA